GGGAGCUGUUCGGUGCCUUUCACCACGUGGUGCUGGGUGAUGACCCCGAGGUCAAGGCCAGCAAGCCCGCCCCGGACAUCUUCCUGGCCUGCGCCCGCAGGUUCUCUCCUCAUUCCCCCACCCCCAUAUCAACCAGUGCCUGGUGCUGGAGGACACGCCCCACGGCAUGGCGGUCGCCCGGGCAGCGGGGAUGCAGGUGGUCAUGGUGCCCAGCGUCCAGCUCGACCCCGAACUCAACGGCCGGGGCCACCCUGCUGCUGCCCUCCUUGGGUGACAUACAACCCGAGCUCUUCGGCCUGCCCGCCUUCAACUGACCUGCGGACAGACAGACA